rnacentral:rRNA from 1 species
UACAGAGGGGGCAAGCGUUGUUCGGAAUUACUGGGCGUAAAGGGCGCGUAGGCGGCCUUCUAAGUCGAACGUGAAAUCCCCGGGCUCAACCCGGGAACUGCGUCCGAUACUGGAAGGCUUGAAUCCGGGAGAGGGAUGCGGAAUUCCAGGUGUAGCGGUGAAAUGCGUAGAUAUCUGGAGGAACACCGGUGGCGAAGGCGACACGCUGGGCCGUACCUGACGCUAAAGCGCGACAGCAUGGGGAGCAAACGGG